rnacentral:lncRNA from 1 species
UUUUCAAUGUUUUUUGUCAAAAUGUCUAUCAGAGGGAGAAACCUGAGAGAAACAGAAGCUGAGGUAAAGCAGGCUGAAAGCAGUAAUUGUUGCACUGUAAUUUGUUGAACAAUCAAAUCACACUAAGCCUGUAUUUUCCUUUCUAAAUACUGGAUCUGCUCAGGUUAGGACUGCAUUAUAGUGUAACUAUCUGUCAGGUUUCUGUGCAUCCAACUGAGCUCUCCCGUGCUGAUGACCAGCAGGCUCACCUGCGGCCUUGCACUGAGAUAUGUAGCAGCUUUAGCCCUGUUGGGGUCGGUUCUUAAAUAAGUGUUUCAGUUCUUCAGCUCGCUCUUGAUCUCAUUCAAGUCAAAGUCAUGAGCCCCUUUCUGCCUCCUUUUCUAUUAUGCAAGUCACUGAAGUUCCUUUUCCAUCUUCAGAUCGCUUUGUUGAAGAGUUUAAAAAACUGAUUUCAUUUUAGUUUUUGUAUUAUUUACAGAUUGAAAAUUGGGAGAAGUCCGAUCUGGUCGCUGGAGCAGUUGCUGUGGCUUUUUGCUAGAAGCCUGUAUUUAGCAGGGGCAGGUGUUCCCGGGCAAGCUUUAAUCCUGCAGGUAACAAUAGUCGUAAAGCCACAGUGACUUCAAUUGCUUCAGUUACAGCUAAGUAUCCAUGGUCUUUUCUCAGCUCUGCAGCUUUCUGUGGCUGCAAAUCUAUUAAUAAUGAUGACAUUAGAUCUUUUCACUGGGCCAGCCUGGAAGUAUAUCAAACCAAGAUAUCUUACCUCCUACAGUAGGAAGCAGUGGACAUCUAAGGCAGGGCGAUAUUUCCAAGAGCGAGAGGCAGAAGUAGUGCUCCCAACCUCCAGCCACUGCAGAAACAUCCUUCAUCCCCCGGAAUCCUGAACUUCCUGGAGCAGAAAGGGGAAGGGAUGGGUUUAUGAGCAGUGCGGCAGGGAAAGAGCAUGACAGUAAGUCACACAGAGAAACUGCAGCAUAUAACAGCUUUAAAGUAGAUAAGCAGAAAUGGAUAAAAAGCAAAAGUUAACUUUCCCUGUUGAUCUGAGUGGGAGAUCGAGUCUCCCGUAUCUUUAUGGGGCACUUUUUUUUCCUCAUAGUUUGAGGGAUGGAAAAGUUUUAUCAGCCUAGUACUGACAAUACUGUGUUGUUGCCUUUGAGAUGUUGCUGUCCAUAUUUGAUCACCGUGGCUUGAACUUCUCAUUCCUGGCUCUCCAGGUGUCUACCAGGACACUCCAGUGCUAAUACAAAGCACCAAAAACAACUACAGUCCUGGUCCUCUCUUUAAGAGACCCCAGGAGUUGUAUGAGGAGAGCACGUAGUGAUUAAAGCCACUGCACUUAUUUUCACUUGUGAGCUGAGUUGGAAUAUUCAAUUUAAAUCUCAAAACCAGGCAGUUAGAAGCUGCCAGUCUAAUUGAUUCAGUCCUCAGAUUGGUUCCCCUUUCAUUUCCA